rnacentral:lncRNA from 1 species
GGAAGAGAUGCCAUGGGGGGGUUAUAAGAAAUAAGCCCACUGACGCAAUCAAAGAAAGGAUGCAGAGACUUGGAGCACAGUGAGGCAAGGCUUUAAUCAAUGUUCUUGCAAGAGUGGGUUUCUGAUGGACAGGCACACUGGGGGCAGUUACAGCAGACAAUUUAUCUCCUAGUGUGCAAGUCCCUCCCCUGGUCCCUCACUGGCUGGGUACUACAGAGGUAAGUCCCUCCCCUGGUCCCUCAUUGGCUGAAAGCUACAGAGGUUACAUACAGCCUUACCUGGAUGUCGCCUGUGCCCAUGUAAGGCAAAAAGUAGUCUGAUUGGAACAAGUGUACAUUUCCGGAGGUGAGGCAGAGACUUUCAGUGUUCUGUGUUCUUUGGUGCCUGCUUAUUGCAAAGCCUGCAAAAAUAAGGCCACAAAUCGGAGAGGGGAAGAAGAAAUAGGAAGUGAAGUGUCUAAGGGUUUGGAACUUCAUUGUGGUGGUGGGGGGGAAGGGGGUUCUCACAUAUUUUCAAUAGGUUGUAAACCUAUUAAUUAGAUAGCACAGCCUUUAUUUGGUAUUUCUGAAAAAGAAUGAUCUCCCUUACUUCUCACAGGGUGACAAUGGACACACUUCCUGUGCUCAGGAAGCACAUCAGCUGGGAGACUCGGAGUGGCCAUAGCCCUGAUUUUCCGCGUGGAUUCAGCAUGAAACCAAAUGUACAUUACAGCUGCGGUGAUGAGAGCGAAGCUUUUACCAUUUGUUUUGGACUCCCGCGCUGAUAUGAAUGGGAGCGGGCAGCUGUGGAUGGCCAAAGCAGGGCCACUGGAAGUAAAGCUGGCAUUGACAAGGGCAGACAGGUGCAGAAGGAAACCUGGUUUUGGAUGACAUUGGUGAGUAACUGAGUCAAACCACCCUUGAAGCCAACCCUACCUCUAAGCAGUCAGUCGUGUUAGCCAUUCAUCUCUUACUGUUUCAGCUACUUUGAGUUUUUUGUUUGUUUGUUCUGUUUUUUGUUUGCUUGUUUUUGGUUUUUUUUGACAGAGAGAAAGAAAGAGAGAGAGAGAGAGAGAGAGCAAGCAUGGGGGGGUGGCAGAGAGAGAGGGAGAGAGAAAGAAUCCCAAGCUGACAGCAUGGAGCCAGAUGUGGGGCUCGAACCCAUGAACCGUGAGAUCAUGACCUGAGCCGAAGUCAAGGGUCUGAUGCUCCACUGACUGAGCCACCCAGGCAUCCAAACACACAUUUUUUUUUUUUUAAUCACUCAGUGGAAACUAUUCAUGGCCAUAAUUUGGGAAGGUAAGAUUUCCUGCCUUUGUCAAGAAGCUAACUGGUCAGAACCUUGACCAAGUAGAGUUGUUAAACUU